CUUAGCCCUGUGUCCUGAGUGCCCCCCAACCUGGACCACCUACCUCCAGUGUCACCACGGCAACUACUGACCCGGGGGCCUCCUCUCUGGGCAAGGCCCCCUCCAACUCAGGGAGACCCCCCCAACUCCUUAGCCCUCUGCUGGGUGCCAGCCUGCUGGGUGAGUCUGAGGGAGUGUGAAUUCACACUCUUGGUGUGAAAAAGCAGGAGUAAAACUUGGGAGUAGUGGCUGAAUAAAUUGGGGAAGAAAGUCUUUGGCCACUGGAUAAAGCCUAAAGAGAAUAGUAGGUCUGCUCAGCCUAAUUGGUUUGCCUAGGGAGAGACCCCUGACUAUAAUUUCUCAACAGGUGACCUGUCUUCACUGACCAGCAGCCCUGGAGCCCUCCCCAGCCUGUUGCAGCCUCCUGGCCCUCUUCUCUCUGGCCAGUUGGGGCUGCAGCUCCUCCCUGGGGGGGGAGCUCCUCCACCCCUCUCAGAGGCUUCUAGUCCCCUAGCCUGCCUGCUACAGAGUCUCCAGCAGAUCCCUCCAGAGCAGCCAGAAGCCCCCUGUCUACCCCCCGAGAG
rnacentral:sRNA from 1 species